rnacentral:rRNA from 1 species
GACGAACGCUGGCGGCGUGCCUAAUACAUGCAAGUAGGACGCAGUUGCGAACGGGUGAGUAACGCGUAGGUAACUACCUAUUAGAGGGGGAUAACUAUUGGAAACGAUAGCUAAUACCGCCUACUAGUAGAUGGACCUGCGUUGUAUUAGCUAGUAGGUAGGGUAAUGGCCUACCUAGGCAACGAUACAUAGCCGAACUGGGAGGGGGAGCGGCCACACUGGGAAUGGGACACGGGCCAGAACCCUACGGGAGGGAGCAGGAGGGAAUCUUCGGCAAUGGGGGGAACCCUGACCGAGCAAAGGCGGGGGAGUGAAGAAGGGUUUCGGAGCGUAAAGCUCUGUUGUUAAGGAAGCGGUACUUAACCAGAAAGGGACGGCUAACUACGUGCCAGCAGCCGCGGUAAUUC